UCAGGAUGAACGCUAGCGGCGCGCUUAAUGCAUGCAAGUCGAGCGAUGAGGUCUCCUUCGGGGGACACAUCAGCGGCAGACGGGUGAGUAACACGUAGGUAACCUACCCCAGAGACAGGGAUAACCCUAGGAAACGAGGGCUAAUACCGGAUGACCUCCGGAAGGAGGAAAGGCUCAGGCGCUCUGGGAGGGGCUUGCGGCCCAUCAGCUAGUUGGUAGGGUAAAGGCCUACCAAGGCGAAGACGGGUAGGGGGUGUGAGAGCACGGCCCCCCACAAUGGGACUGAAACACGGCCCAUACUCCUACGGGAGGCAGCAGCAGGGAAUAUUGCACAAUAGGCGAAAGCCUGAUGCAGCGACGCCGCGUGAGUGAAGAAGGCCCUUCGGGUCGUAAAGCUCUUUUGUAGGGGAAGAGGAAGGACGGUACCCUUAAGAAAGAAGCGUCGGCUAACUACGUGCCAGCAGCCGCGGUAAGACGUAGGACGCGAGCGUUAUCCGGAAUUACUGGGCGUAAAGGGCCAGCAGGCGGCUUGGUAAGUUGUGCGUGAAAGCCUCGUGCUCAAAGCGAGGAAGCCGGACAAUACUGUCAAGCUAGAGGGCAUCAGAAGGGGAGUGGAAUUCCCGGAAGUAGCGGUAUAAUGCGCACGAUAUCGGGAGGACACACGAUGGCGAAAGGCAGCUUCCUGGGAAGCAACUGAAGCUUAGAGGCGAAAGCUAGGGGGAGCGAACAGGAUUAGAGAACCUGGUAGUCCUAGCCGUAAACGCUGGGUGCUAAGGUGUGGGACGUAGAAGUUCCCGUGCCGGAACAAACGCGAUAAGCACCCCGCCUGGGAAUUACCGGUCGCAAGGCUAAAACUCAAACGAAUUGACGGGCCCCGCACAAGCAGCGGAGCGUGUGGUUC
rnacentral:rRNA from 1 species